UCUCUGGUGGUAGAGUGGUUAAGACUCUGCACUGCUGAUGCAGGGGGCCAGGGUUCGAUCCCUGGCCAGGGAG